AAAAUGUACACUCCUCCAAGCCAUCGAAGCAUUUCUGUCACUGUCAUUGUCACGAGGAGGUGGCCACGGCAGUGGGCGAGGUCCUGGCUGCCUAUGGAAGGGCCAAAAGCAGAAAUGCAAGGCUGUCUGCAAAGGGAGUUGGUCCAGGCAUCUCCUGCAGCUCUGAGGCUAAUUGCUUAAUUGAAUCAGUGCAAAUUCCUGCUGUUUGGGAGCUUGUGAGUUGUCUACAAGAUAGGCUGCCUUGACAGGUCAGGAAGACAGAGAGGCCAGAAAGGCAACUGGCAGCCAGAAGUCUGGGCUGUGGAGGCCUCCACUCAGCUGAACUGGAGUGUACCUGACUAGCCCUGGGCAGAGGUGGACUCAGACCCACAUAGUAGAAGGAGAGAACCAAGCCUUGGAAAUUCUCCUCUGGAUUUCACACACCUGUCAUGGCACACCUCACCCCCAUCCUGCACCCCCACAUACCAGAUAAGCCACCUCAGCACUUUUGUUGCCAUUGUUCUUCAUGUCCUAAGCCCUGCCCUCCUCUCCACUUGCUCAAGCCUGCUUAUGGGGAGGACUGAAUGCCUCGCCCCUGUCAACCACAGCCAGUGCUAUGGCUGGAGGGACCAGAAGGAAGCCUGUUCAGUCCAAGGAAGGAGAGGCCACCACGGACCCACCCUGGUGCUCUACAGCUGCUACUUUUGCAGUUGUGCCAGACCUGGCUGAGGAAUGUCCCCAGGACCGCCCCCCUCCAUCCCUCCGGCCCCACCCAGAGGGACUGCAGAAGGAAGCUGCUCCUAUGUGCCCUGCUACCUCACACAUGCUGUUCCAUGGGUCUGCCUUCCACCAGGAUUAAAAAUCUAUGCACCCCCAACACCAGGAGAAAGGUUCUUGGUGCAUUCAUGUCCCUGUGCAGCAAGUGACAGAUGCUCAACAAGGACCCAAGCAGUAUCUGUUUUGGAGAAGUCCCACCCCACGGAUCCCAAACACAACCUGGAAGACAUUAGGGCAAGCUGGGCUAUGCGGCUUUACCAAGCAGCCCUUGACUCUGGAAGUUGCUUUCUUGCUCAGGUUACCUUGCUCAGAAUGGUUUCUUCUAGUUCCAGGGAUGGACCUCUUAAGCAGCUCCUACUUUAUUGCCCUUGUUCACUAUGAGAAUAUGCCACCAACAACAACCCAUACCUAG
rnacentral:lncRNA from 1 species